rnacentral:rRNA from 1 species
UUAGGAGGAGGACCAGGUAAAUCCGGGCCUCAUAAACUCUGAGACGUGAUACCGAGCCGCUUCAGGCGAAGUCAUUGAUCCUAUGCUGCCUAGAAAAGCCCAGCAGCAAGUUGACAUGGUGCCCGUACCCCAAACCAACACAGGUGGACAGGUAGAGCAUACCAAGGCGAGUGGGAUAACUAUGGUUAAGGAACUCGGCAAAUUGCCUCCGUAACUUCGGGAGAAGGAGGACCCCAGUAGCGUGAUGAGACUUGCUCUCUGAGCGUGAAGGGGUGGCACAAAAUUGAGGGAAGCGACUGUUUACCAAAAACACAGCAGCGUGCUAAGCCGUAAGGCGCUGUAUACGCUGUGACUCCUGCCCGGUGCUGGAAGGUUACGGGGAUGGGUUAGUCCUUCGGGACGAAGCUCUGAACCUAAGCCCCAGUAAACGGCGGCCGUAACUAUAACGGUCCUAGGGUAGCGAAAUUCCUUGUCGGGUAAGUUCCGACCUGCACGAAUGGAGUAACGACUUCCCUACUGUCUCAACCAUAGACCCAGCGAAAUUGAAGUACGAGUAAAGAUGCUCGUUAGCUGCAGAAGGACGGAAAGACCCCGUGGACCUUUACUAUAACUUGAUGUUGUGUUUUGUCAUAUGUUGUGUAGGAUAGGUGGGAGACUUGGAAGCAUGGACGCUAGUCUGUGUGGAGUCAUCGUUGAAAUACCACCCUGCAUAUGGUGAGGCUCUAACCUAGACCCGUUAUCCGGGUUGGGGACAGCGUCAGGCGGGUAGUUUAACUGGGGCGGUUGCCUCCUAAGAGUAACGGAGGCGCCCAAAGGUUCCCUCAGCCUGGUUGGCAAUCAGGCGUUGAGUGCAAUGGCAAAAGGGAGCUUGACUGCGAGACCUACAAGUCGAGCAGGAGCGAAAGCUGGGCAUAGUGAUCCGGCGGUUGCGUGUGGAAGCGCCGUCGCUCAACGGACAAAAGGUACCCCGGGGAUAACAGGCUAAUCUUGCCCAAGCGUCCAUAGCGACGGCAAGGUUUGGCACCUCGAUGUCGGCUCAUCGCAUCCUGGGGCUGAAGCAGGUCCCAAGGGUUGGGCUGUUCGCCCAUUAAAGCGGUACGCGAGCUGGGUUCAGAACGUCGUGAGACAGUUCGGUCCCUAUCCUCUGCAGCCGGAGGUGAAUUGAGGAAAGCUGUCCCUAGUACGAGAGGACCGGGACGGACGCAGCUCUCGUGUGCCAGUUGUCCUGCCAAGGGCAUGGCUGGUAAGCGACCUGCGGAAAGGAUAACCGCUGAAAGCAUCUAAGCGGGAAGCCUCUUCCGAGAUGAAUUCACCCACAGGGUUAACCUGGUAAGGCCCGUGGUAGACCACCACGUUGAUAGGCCGGAAGUGUAAGCGUGGCAACACGUUCAGCUGACCGGUACUAAUCGGCC